rnacentral:rRNA from 1 species
UACGUAGGGUGCGAGCGUUAAUCGGAAUUACUGGGCGUAAAGCGUGCGCAGGCGGUUUUGUAAGUUUGUCGUGAAAGCCCCGGGCUCAACCUGGGAAUUGCGAUGAAGACUGCAAGGCUUGAAUCUGGCAGAGGGGGGUAGAAUUCCACGUGUAGCAGUGAAAUGCGUAGAGAUGUGGAGGAACACCGAUGGCGAAGGCAGCCCCCUGGGUUAACACUGACGCUCAGGCACGAAAGCGUGGGGAGCAAACAGG